UACGUAGGGUGCAAGCGUUGUCCGGAAUUAUUGGGCGUAAAGAGCUCGUAGGCGGUUUGUCGCGUCUGCCGUGAAAGUCCGGGGCUCAACUCCGGAUCUGCGGUGGGUACGGGCAGACUAGAGUGAUGUAGGGGGAGACUGGAAUUCCUGGUGUAGCGGUGAAAUGCGCAGAUAUCAGGAGGAACACCGGUGGCGAAGGCGCCACUCUGGGCCGGUACUGACGCUGAGGAGCGAAAGCGUGGGGAGCGAACAGG
rnacentral:rRNA from 1 species